AUCUAAAUAGUUUAAUAUAAAAUUUUGAUUUGUGGUAUCAAAGAUAUAGCUUUUAUUUUAGAUU
rnacentral:tRNA from 1 species